rnacentral:rRNA from 1 species
UACGGAGGGUGCAAACGUUGCUCGGAAUCAUUGGGCGUAAAGCGCACGUAGGCGGCUCAGCAAGUCGGGUGUGAAAGCCCGCGGCUCAACCGAGGAAGUGCAUUCGAAACUACUGAGCUUGAAUACUGGAGAGGAUCGCGGAAUUCCCGGUGUAGAGGUGAAAUUCGUAGAUAUCGGGAGGAACACCAGUGGCGAAGGCGGCGAUCUGGGAAGAUACUGACGCUGAGGUGCGAAAGCGUGGGGAGCAAACAGG